rfam:Ancylostoma duodenale strain Zhejiang A_duodenale-1.0_Cont2348.2, whole genome shotgun sequence.
GUUCAAUCCUGAACAUAUACUGAAAUUGGAAGAAUACAGAGAAGUUUAGCAUGGCCGCUACGCAAAGGUGACAAGCAAAUUCGUGAAGCGUUCAAAUUCAGC